UCCGGGGUACGGCGCCGGCGCCGUGGCCGCGCUUUGAACGCGGCACCCGCAGGUUCGAUUCCUGCCCCCGGAU
rnacentral:tRNA from 1 species